AGAAACAGACUCAAGAAGAAUAAAAUAGGCCCAAGAAGAAGAAACAGAUGUACGAAGACGAAACAGACCCAAGAAGAAGAAACCACAGACCCAAGAAGAAGAAAGUAACAGACAUAAGAAGAAGAAACAGAUGAAGGCCCUCACCAUUUGACUCGAGUACAACUGAUGCCGUGGCAUUUGGCCCUGUGAGAGAGAGAGAGCUCACUGCUGUCCGACAGAUGGGACUCACAGUCACUACUGUCCGCCUCAGCAGCCGCAUCUCCCUCCUCUAGCCGCACCGCCUUUGCCUCUCCCUCCUCCCGAGCUACACUUUUAUGUUUUAUGCUCCUCAGGAGGGCCCCAGGCGUCCAACCUGAGGGUCCUGCACACACACCGUCAGCUUGCACAUUGACACUAGCAGGCUGCGCACGCACACCCUCAGCUGGCACACACACACCGCCAGGCUGCACACACUCACUAUCAGGCUGCUCACACACGCCACUAGGCUGCUUGCACACAGGCUCACACACACCAGUAGUCCCAUCACCAAUCCUCUCACACAGCUCACCCAGUGCUUCACCUUCACCUCCUGCCUCCAGCUGCUCCACCUCCUCUCCAUCUUCUACCAUCUCAGCUGCCUCCUUCUCACCAGCUCUAUCCACAACCUCACCUGUGUCUCUCAGCUCACCUUCCUCCAUCUCCUCACCUCUACCCACCUCUGCGUCCCCUCCCUGGCCCUGUUGCCUGCCUUCGGGCCCGCAGCCGCGGGGAGAGAAAGGCCCGUCCCCGCUCCGCGCCGGUGGAGUGUCGGUGAUGCGGGGCGCUCCGCCGGCUCGUACGGGGAGGAGAGCAGGGGGGCGGUAGUUAGGAGAGAAAGGCCCGGCUAAGUUCGGACAGCCCGAAUCAGAUGGCCUUCCUCCCCGCAGCCAUGACUAGAUUUAAGUUGUCCCUCCCAUCAUAAUCCCCACUCUACUUCAUUGGAAGGGUCACUAUGCGUUUCUUGUAGGAAAAUUCUAUUUAGCCAUUUCUGUUUAAUAACCUCCACUACAAGAGCUCUUCUCUGUGCACUUCUCCCCCCAUUCAUGUUUAACGAAGCCACCCUUAGAGUUUGUAUAGCACAGAAAGGUGGACAGAGAACAAAAACAGCUAGAAUAAAAACAGCAGACAGGAAGCACCCAAUGAGACAAUCAUUCUUUCUUGUUAGAAGAGAUCAGUUGCUUCUUAUUCUUUCCAUCUAAUGCAGCCUUCUUCACUGCUGUUACACGCUUUCUUAGCCUAAAUCGCAUUUUUUCACACAGUAGAUCCUUCCCUACCUUUUUCUGUAGAACGCUUGCUGUGCAAACAGUUCAGUUUUGCGUCUUUACAACCUCAGCUGACAGGAUGGAAGCCACUAGCAAACUGACCGAACUGUCUGAGCUCACUCUCAAGCGCCUCAUUCGGGAUGAAGGGCGGCACACCUGACACGGUAAUCCGUGUAGACGGCACCGCCAACGGUGAAACCGUGAUAAACUCAUCAUCCAAAGUUAAACCACUCUCGAUAAGGGUCGUCACAUACCUCUCAUUGUUGAAAAACACCACCAAUCCUUUAUUCAUACGGGAGGCAUAGGAGAUGUUUCCGUGGCCUACCUGCUCUCCCACCGCUAGUAGUGCCUGCUCCACCGUGGACGAGGGCGGAGGCAGCAGCCUCACCCCGUGUCUCAGCGACAUUGACGUGAGGACGCCAUUCCUGCCGAGUGGCGGAGGAAACUCCACCAGCGAUCAGUAUUAAACGAGCUUCUAACACUACACUAACUACACAAAAUUAAACAGUAGGACCUUACAAUGGCCUCAAAAGUAAAGCAGGAAAAAAAACUCAGGUUUGAGUAUCAAGACACCCUUCUUCCCUCUCCCAAAAACAACCUCCACCACAGAAGAAGAAACAGACCCAUGAAGAAAAA